AUAUAUAUAUAUGCAGACAAUACAUUUUGCAAAUAUGAUGUACCAAUUUUAAUUUGUUGUUGGUAGUGAUUUGGUUCUGUUUUUUCUAAGUCCAACUAACUAGGGUUUCUAUGAGGUGUGUGAUCGAGGCCUUCUUGUCCAACUUGUAGCAUAUAUUUUACAUAUGUAAAAAUUUCCAAAAUUUUAGUUAUUAAAUUUGCUGCAUAUAGUUUGAAGAUUUUAAUUAAUCUCUCCCUUUUUACACUUUUUUUUUCGUGUAUGAUCCGGCCCCUCAAUGAUUUAUGUAUUCGUUUUCCUAUGAACCAGUAUAGUAGCUAGCUAGGGUAUAUAAAAAGGUUCGUAUCUGUUAGAGAAAGUAAGCCUAAACCUAAUAUAAUUUGUUUCCUCACAUGUUAUUUUAUAAAAACCAUAACUGUCCUGCAUAUGUUGUUUUGAUGGAGUUCUUAAGAAGGUUAGGGUUUACAUAUAUACCAGGUCUAGCUAGGUAUGAUAUAUAUAUAUAUAUAUAUAUAUAUAUAUAUAUAUAUAUAUAUAUAUAUAUAUAUAUAUAUAUAUUCCCUCAGGUUUAAUUACACGCAUGAAGCAAAUGGAUCGAGAUUGUUAACCCCUUCCUAGAAUUGAACAUUACUCUUUGUGUUUGCCUACUUGAUUAAUUCUUGUAAUUAAUUGUUCAUGAAAUAUAGCAAGGUAAUAAACGAAUCCGUCAUGAACAGAUGGCUACAAUAAACCCAAAGCUAUGUCUUCUUUUAAGAUGCUAACAUACAUACAUUAGAUCUGCUAAAUAUACUAUACGUAUACAUUCUAAGAUAUACAGUAAAACCCCUAUUUAAGAAUACCCUAUAUAAGAAUAACCUUUACAAUAUUAUAAAAAAAAUUGAUCCCAAUUUGGACCAAUUAUAAAUAGGAAUAACCUCUAAAUUGUAAUAUAUUAUAUACUUUUUAAGUCCCGUAUUAAGAAACUAUACCUCUAUAUAGUAAUAAUUUCAUAUAUAUAUAUAUAUACAUAUAUAUAUGAGAGAGACAAUAUAAAUUUUAAAAGACUACAUUUUUCUAUAAAAGACUAUAUUUCCUAUAAAGAACUACAUUUUCCUAUAAAAGACUAUAUUUCCUAUAAAGAACUACAUUUUCUUAUAAAAGAUUACAUUUCCUAUAAAAGACCACAUUUUUCUAUAAAAGACUACAUUUCUUAUAAAAGACUACAUUUUCUUAGUUUGAAAAUCUAAAUAGGAAGUUCUUAUUGAUAUUUUUGUUAAAGUAAAUAUUUUUUGGUGUUCGAAAAAUAUUUUAUACCAAUACCUCUAUUUAGUAAUAACCUCUUAAUUAGAAUACAAAUAAUUUGAUCCCAAAUCUAUUUCUAAAUAGAGGUUUUACUGUAUAUCUCUCCUUUAAAGUUGUAUGGAUUGAUAAUUUAACAGAGUUCCCUAUCUACUAUGCGUCCAUGGAAUUCCAGUUCUGAAUUAUUUUGCUUGUGUUAAUAUUCUUAAUUCUGAAAUAUAUAUAUGUUCAUCCUUACAUUAAUUCUAAACAUGAUCUGUCAAUUAAUAUUCUCGACACUUAAUUCAAUUUGUCAAUCAUGAUCACUAUAUAAUAUCUUCCUUUAAUUCUUUUGUUUAAGCAUGCACAAAAACAGAC
rnacentral:lncRNA from 1 species